AACAGCAAUAAGGAAAUAGUCUGUGGUUGUAUUUGAUUUCCGUUUUAUUAAAAUGUAUGGAUUUCAGCAAACAAAGAAAGGCACGCAACAACUGAGGACAAACAUAGGUACAAGGGUAUGGAUAAUCUGACCACAUAUACAUUCAAUACACACGCUGCCAUGCACACCUUCUUUAGGACCUGUGGAGUCCAAAGUUUCUACACCCCACACUCCAAUCCUGAUGGAGAUGGCAACCGUAGCUGAGCAGAAGAGGACAAGGAGAGGGGAAAAAAAGAAAAUUGAACAAAAGACAGAUGAUCUACCUGACCUUUCUUAAAGCGGGAUGCAGGCAGCAGAGUGAGUGUCGGCUUUGCUAUGGCAACAGUGCCAAACGCCCUAGAGUAACCUCCCCCUCCCCUUCCCUAGCCCCCCUCCUGCAGCUUUGCAUGUGGAUGUCUAAUUGCUUGCAGGCAUUUGGAUGGAGUGGUUGAACUUUGGUCCAGUAGACUAGAGGGCACUGGCUUGUUUAGUCUGGUCACAUGGGCCAGCCAGAGGCCUAGGAAACAGCCACGCAAGUUCGAGCUCCUGUCCCCACUGUCAGGUUUAUAGGGCAUGCUGGGACAAUGCUGAGAACCACCACUGGUUGGUUGACUCCUUCACGGCACACUGACCUUACAUGACACACAAAAUGUCUUAUAUAAAAGAAAACACUGCAAUAUUGAAUAUAUUUACUUAGGAACCGUGGGAAGUCUAGUGUAGUCUAAAUUGUGUUACACAAUGUGUUUUGUUAAAUGUUAUCUUUUACAGAGGGGAUGAUUGGCUGUGAUUUUACUUUCAAUAUUUCUACAAUGUUUUAUUUGUACCCUUAUAGGCCUACAUGUAUUUAACCUUAAAACAGCUGUAGCAAAUACAGUGUUCAGUCAGAUAAGGGCUGCUAUGCAAAAACACCUCUUCUUCUCAAUAUACGCACACAUUAUUUACUAUAAGCUGAGCUCCAUCAUAUCACUUUAUUUCCCCCAUCCAAAAUGGACAAGUGUGCCCUUGAGAUGAUGAAGCGUUUCAACCAUCAACAGACCAUUUUUUACUCUAGGGCAAUUCCAUGGUAAGAGAGUGACACUGAGACUGAGAUUUUUCACUUUAAAAUGUAUGUCAAAC